GCCUGGCUGGCUCAUGGUAGAGCAUGUGACUCUUGACCUCAAGAUUGUAAGUUCAAGCCCUACAUUGGGCA
rnacentral:tRNA from 1 species